GAAUACGAUCAUUCUUCAGCUACACACACAAGGUUUUAAUAAACUUGCAAACUGUUCAAUUUAUCUCAUCCCCUGUCAACAGUCCAAGUCACCGUGGUCUCUUUGACAACUGUGAGGUCUCUCCAUACUCUUUUUGGCCUCUCCAUAAAUAUCAAUAGCUACAAUCGCAACAAGAUUUGAAGAAAUUAUUUGCAAAUAUCGAUGCUGCAGCCAGAGUGAUCUUCACAAAUUGCAAAUCUCAUCAAUCAGACCCUUACUUAGGACCCACCAAGAGCAUUCCUACAGGGUCAGAAUAAAAUCCAAAGCCCUUGCCUUGAGUGGCAGCCCUUGUCAGACCUGUCUCCUACCUGCCCCACCUCUUCUCCUCUCUGCACUGGGCCCAGCUCACACCACAGCAGGGUAUUUGCACUCACUGUUCCUUCCUCCUGUUUUCUUUUUUAAAUUAUUUAUUUAUUUAUUGAAAUGGUGUCUCACUCUGUCCCCCAGGCUGAAAUGCAGUGGCACGAUCUCAGCUCACUGCAACCUCUGUCUCUUGGGUUCAAACAAUUCUUUUGCCUCAGCCUCCUGAGUAGCUGGGAUCACAGGCGUGCACUACCACUCUUAGCUGAUUUUUUGUAUUUUUAGUAAAAAUGGGGUUUCAUCAUGUUGGCCAGGCUGGUCUCGAGCUCCUGACCUCAGGUGAUCCACCUGCCUCGGCCUCCCAAAGUGCUGGGAUUAUAGGCAUGAGCCACCGUGCCCGGCCCUGGCUAUAUAUCCUUGCCCUAGGGUUUGUCCUUUCCUCAUCUCUAUGGAGUCUAAUCAUAUGCAGUUUGAUAUCUGGUCAAAGACUCAGAGGAAUCCUCAUUCACAUGUUUGGAGCUUGUUUUAUGAUACCUCCAUGAUAAAAUAACUCAUUCCUCCUCCUUCACAUUCUGCAUCACAAAUUUUAGCUCCCUUAACCUCAUUAAAAUCCAACCUGUAUCUCCUCAAUUCAACAAUACCUAUAGUGUUUUAUUUGGGUUUCCCUUCCCUGUGCCACCAGAAAUUAACCCUAGACAGAAAGCAGGAGUGAUCAUGGACUUCACUUUAUUUUUCACUUUAUUCAUUUCCCUUCUUUCAGGAUCCACAGUCUUAUUUUAUUUUAUGUUUUACUUUUCGGAGACAGAGCCUUGCUCUGUUGCCCAGGAGUGCAGUGGUGCCAUCUGGGCUUACUACAACCUCUGCCCCCCUGGGUUCAAGUGAUUCUCGUGCCUCAUCUGCUUGAGUAGCGGGACUACAGGCAUGCGCCAAGGCUAGUCUCAAACUCUUGGGCUCAAGUGAUCCGCCCUUCUCAACUUCCGAAAGUAAUCCCAAAGAUUACACACCUGAGCCACUGCACCCAGCCAGUACAGUCUUUUGUUGUGAAUUGUCUAAUCUCUGAAAACAGUUUUUUCAGUUAUUUUGUACAGUUUCCUAACUGUUUAUGGUGGGAAAGUAGGUCUAGACAUUGUUAUGCCCUCAUAGCUGGAUAUGGGACUGGUACUAUUUUUCUACUACUCUCUCUCAGGUUGAGUCCGUUAUUAUCCUUUUCUGAUUACACAGCCA
rnacentral:lncRNA from 13 species